rnacentral:rRNA from 1 species
UACGAAGGGUGCUAGCGUUGUUCGGAAUUACUGGGCGUAAAGCGCGCGUAGGCGGCUGUUCAAGUCAGAGGUGAAAUCCUUGGGCUCAACCCAAGAAUUGCCUUUGAAACUGCAUAGCUAGAGUGUCGGAGGGGAUAGCGGAAUUCCUAAUGUAGAGGUGAAAUUCGUAGAUAUUAGGAGGAACACCGGUGGCGAAGGCGGCUAUCUGGACGACAACUGACGCUGAGGCGCGAAAGCGUGGGGAUCAAACAGG